rnacentral:lncRNA from 1 species
UAUUUUGUUAUUAAGAUUUAUGUCCUUUCUUUCUCUAUCACUAUCUUAUGUUGUUGCCACCACUACACUACUCUCUUCUCACUAGUACCUGCUUCAAUAACAUUAACACAAACUCUCUUUCUCUCUAUCUUCAUUCCUUUUUAUAGAACUCUGCAACUUCAACUUGCCCAAAAAAACCAAACCCAUUUUGUAAAACCCAUGAAGUUCAAAACUUGUAAACUACCCACAUGGCUUCAUGAAACGCAGGCUCAAAAAACAGAGUGUUUGUAACCAUGAAAUGAGUUUGAGUUUUUUUAUCUAUUGUUGGGUGUGAAUGAAUGGGGUGCAUGGUUUCUCUACUAGCUUCAAAGUUUGCAUUUUUUCCUCCUUCUCCACCAACCUACCAGCUCAAAAAACGGGAAGACGGGAAGCUCACGGUGGUUUCUAAGGUGUCUCCGGCGGUGGUGAUACCAAACGCUGCCGAUGACAACUCUUUGGAUGUUCUUCUUGUUGAUACAAAACAUGGUAACAAGAUUGUAGCUUUCUAUUUACUACACUCAUUGAUUAGCUUGAUGAAAGUUUGCAGCCAAAUAUAUGUUUUCCAUAUUUCUUUUUACGCAUACCGUUAACAGAGUUGAAUUCAUCAGGAGUCUGUUCCAGAAGGUUGAAAUUCAAUUGCUUACACCUUACAGUACAGAUCCCUCUUAGCCCCUUUCCAGAUCCAGUCCAUUGACUGAUAAGAACACUACAUAUACUUUUUGUUUUACAAUUUGAUGUAUCUGACUCUCUUUUAGUUAGUUAAAGGGAUAAAAGGUAAUUACUUCCAUUUGUAAUUGCAAGUUAAAUUCGUUCCUCUAUAGAUGAGUAGUUUGUUAAUAUUAUAACCUCUCAGAAUCAAAUUGUUUAGACGGUGACUUUGCAUAAUUCAAAUGCAAAUGGAAGAUUGUUGUUGCUAAAAUCACUACAUCUGGUCAAUUUCAUGUUUAUCUUCAUCUGCAUAGAUAGCUAUACCAUAUGUACUCAUAAAAAAAAACUUAUAUACCCUAUGUAUGUGGAACUCUUCUAAGGCAAUAUCAUAGAAACAGAGGCCAACAUAGAUAAUUUAAUUUGUUUACAAGAUAAAAAGUUGAACUUUUUGAUCUCAUAAACUUAAUCCAUUCUUUAUUAAUUCAUCCCAUCAUUAUUAACUUUAGGCCCAGAUCAAGAUUACAAGGAAUAUUUGGGCUGUUUGGGAAGCAAGUAAUGAUAGUCCUCCACACAUUUCUUCAAUUUUUGAUAGCGCAGUGUAAAUCUGUCAAAAAAAAUUAUCAGUGCAACCUUGGUGAGUUUCAUUGUUGCUGUAAAUCUGAUGGCAAUGCUUGCUUCAGUCCUGGCCAGGCUAUGCUCAAUACAUUAAUUUGUGCACAGAACCAAAAUUGCCAUUAUGUACGACAAUUUAAGGACAAGUGUCCUAUAUUGCCCUUACAGAGCAAACUUUUGCUGUUCUCUGCUAGCUUUUGCAUGUCAAAGAUCUGCUUUGUUCAAGCUAGUGGGAAUGUGUGGGGUUUUCUUAUGUUUUUUAACUCACUUCAAUGUAAAAUUAACAAUUACUUGCCAGAACUACAAAAAAUAUUGCCAACGGAUUUAGUUAAGUUUGAAAAGAUACUUGAAAGGUUAAAGUCAACUCAGCACUCGUAAUCUCAAUUGAUAAGUGACCUAUAAAUUUGAAGUAACUUAGUAUUAAAAUAAUUUGCCUUCCUUGCUGAUCUAUAAUAACUUUCUUUUAAAAGAAAAGAAAUAAUUUCAAACCACAUGCAUAGUCAGACAGUUGGUGACCCCUCUUUCUAUUUUUAAGCUUCUUCACUUCUCUAUUUCUUCACCUAUAUUUCUCCCUAUGCGUGCUAUUUUUUUUUAUUAAACUCUCUCUCUCUCUCACUUUUACUCUACCUUUCUAUUUAUAUGUCCCUUCAACUGAACUUUCAGAUUGGCCAAGUUCGAAUAAAACGUGUGUGGGGUAAACAGUAAUACCACGAGUGCCCCCACACUAACAAUUCAAAAUAUUAUCGUGAGUCUCACCUAAUAACGUAAGGAAAAAGUAGAUGAACGCAGUCUUAUUUUAUAAGUGAAGAAUAUGUUUAUAAGAUUUGAACAAAUGAACUCCGAAUUAUAAAGUAAGCAAUUUUACCAUUGAGUCAAGAUUCGCCCUAUAAUGUGUGCCCCAUGGAUUAUAGCAAGUUUGCUUCUGCUUCUUAUGAUUCCUAUGCGAAAUACGAGAAUAGGUCGAAGGGCAAGGGUACUAUACCCUCAUUAUUUUCUUAUGUUUUUAUUUCCCUGCACAAACCAAUAAUGAUGUAAUACUUUCAUGUUUUCGGAAAACAUAAUUAUAACUCUGCUCUGGUCCCCCUUUGAAUUGUUGCUAUGGUAGUAGCGUUACGAUGCUGCUUCAUUGUAACCAAGUUUACAUGUGAUAUUAACAUUCCACACGAGUUAAUACUAUUUUUAGUUUUGUUUUAAUAAUGAACUUUUGUUAUAAAUGAUUUUAGGGCAAUGUGAUUUGAAUAAUAAUGCGUUGUUUAAGGUUGCAUGCACGAGGCACCUGAAUAAUGUCACUUUCUCAUGCAGCGGAGUUAAUAUUUUAUUACACUUAAAAUGACCAAAGAGGGUUACCAAAUCUUGAUGAGGAUUGUGCAAUGCAUGUUCCUUCCAUGAACCAAUAGCCACAUACACAUGCGACAAAAAAUGUAAUAAUAAAUUAAUCCAUAAGCAUAGAUACGGACAUUGAAGAUUAACCCAAUAAAUUAUCACUUAUUUUCCUAUAAAGUUGUGGUCUUGUCUAAUUAAAUUUAAGUGGUAUACAUAAAAUCUUGAGCUUUGAUUAAUAUGUUUUAACUUUUUUAAUUUAGUGUUUCAGAAACAUAUCUAGGUUAGAAAAUGAAAUAAAAAUACUUUGUUUAUUAACUUAUUAAGCAUGUUAUUUGUGAAUUAUAAAUUCAAAUAGGGAGGAGUGCAACUGCCCCCAUUUAAAUCUAGAUAUUUACAUUUUAUGUCUUACAUUUAUAUAGUUGUUUUCGAAUCCAAUAUUUUACAGACAACACAAGUUAUUUACGGUUAAAAUAAUUAUAUUUGUCAAAUCAGGUGAAGUUAGAAUAUUUACGUUAAACAUUUAUAAAAAACAAAUGAUUAGUUUAAUAUAUAUGGUACAGCUUUAAAAGUAAAUAUAGAGAGCAUAUCAUUGAUUGAGAAAUAAAAGGGAAUGUCAAAGGCGUUUACUGAAAGUAGAUGAACAAGUUAAUCCCUGGCAUAAUCAUUAGCCUCUAAACGGUGUUGUUACUAUUAUAGGACUUCUCAAGCUAGAUUUUGGAGGAAAAAGGAAAAUUUGAGAAUCAUAAAAUACAUUUGUAAGAUGAUUCUCAUGCCUUCAUUUUUCCUUCAUUCCCCUUCAAAAUCUAACUUUCAAAUUAACUCUUAAUUGAUUAUUAUUAUUUUUUGUUAAAAAAGUAUAUUGAUCUGUCCUUAAAAUAAGGUAAUCUUGGAUUUGGACUUAUAUGCCCACUAAGGCUGGGAGGAAAUCAGGGGAAAAUGUCAAAAAAAGGAAGAUAAUAAGUUGACUAUAGUACAUGAUGAUGAUAAAGUGUGAGACAAAAUUAGACUUGAAUAAAAUUAAAGUGAUUACUAAGUAAUGGAAAGAAAGGGGGAUAUGAAGAUAUUGAAGAUGAUAAUUCACCAAAUAAUAAUUAUGAAAAAAAAUCCGGUAUUUCUCUUCAAAUUUAGUUAUAUUAGUUAAAUUGAAAUAUACCGUUUUCUUUUAUUCGGUAAAAACUUAUGGUGAAUAAAAGUUCCUUAUUUAAAGAUUAAAGAAUAUCACCAAGAUAUAUAAAACUAGUAUUUAAAUUAGGUAUAUCAAUCUUCAAUAAGUUUACAUAACUCACUUAAAAAUUCUAUGUUACUGAAUAUGACUCGAAAAAGAUUCUUAAUACUAGUAGGGAAAUCUUAUAACGCUAUUAAUAAAAGACUUACUUUCUAGUACCUCCUUUUACAUAAGUCUGUUGGAUUAGGUGAAGAAUUAUUUUUUAUUAUGAUUUAAGGAGAUCUUUCGAUCCAUAAAUUCUAAUUAUAAUAUUAUGUUAAGAUUUUAUCUCAAAACUAAUUGAUAUAAAGAGAAAUAUCUGAAGAUGUACUUAAACUAUGGUUAUAAUGAGAGAUCACUUAGUUAGCAACACUACAUCUCUCCCACAUAUGUAUUGCACCAGUCAAGUUUUAUUACAAUUUAUUUAAAAGGAAGAAGAGAUUAAAAAGAGAGAAAAUCGGAUGAUAAAAAUGCUAGUUUUGCAACGAAUUAUCACCACCUGGACGCAAAUUUUCAGCCUCGUUAAUGAUGAAAACAUUGUCUUUUCACUCUUACAAAACGCAUUAUCCGCAUAACUUUUCCUUUUGAUGAAGAAUUAUUUCUCCCAAACAUGAUUAUGUCUGAUUUGAUCGAUAAUUAAUCAUAAGUAGCCAUCAAAAUUGACAUUGAUGCCAACUUAGAAAACAAAGACUUUAAAUUAUUAUCUACUACAUUUUUGUGUUCUUUGGUCCUCAUGCAUGCCACGAAUUCAUGGAGGAAUUCGAAUAAUAUUGCACACUAUUUCCAACGAGGUCUAAUCCUAUCCUAGUCUUACCUGCACUUUUAAUAAUUUAAUAAUAAAAUUAAAAGAAGAGCCUUAUGCAUUAUUUGUAGGUAGAGAAGAAAUGGUGAUAAAGAAUAUGAAUUAUGGAUAUGAAUUAUGGAAUCCAACAUGAACUUUGAACACUAUACCAAUACUUGUAUUGGGAUUUGGACACAAUGUCUAACAUACAAGAUAUGAGGACAUAAGAUUAUAAGAAUAUACAACUAAAUACGAAGAUGGUAUUAAUAUAUUAUACAUCCAAAAUUCCAAUCUUCAUAAUUUUUUUUAUAAUUUGAGACAAGCGUCUAAGAGAUGCGAAAAAUAUGUUGACUAAAUGUCGAGAUCGAUAAAAAUAAUUUUAAAUUGGACAUUUGAGAUAAAAUAUCUUACAUAUACUAAAACGUGUUAGAGAAAAAUUGAUCUUGUAUGCGCAAAGAGACGUGAAUACUUUCUGGAUAGAAAGUAAAAAUAAAAAAGAGAAUGAACUUUUUAUUUGGUACUAUAAGGAUUAAAGAGUAAAUUAAAUAAAUUAUAUUAUAAUUUUGCAAUAAAAAACAUUGUAUAUUUUUGUUUCCGGUGGCAUAAGAAAGUCCAAAAUGAAAUCCAAAGAAACGUUACUCUGCAAUAGGCUUUGGGUAAAAGUACCAAAAACAGGUGUCAGUGCUGAGUAGCCAGAUAGUUCAAGCUGUACACACCAGUAGUCACCAGAGAACAUGCAUUACUCUCUUUCAAUCUUCACAUCAUAAAACACCAAACACAACUAUCCCUUAUAAGCUAAGAAAUUGCACUUACAAUGAAAUGAAAUAAAAUACUACCUUAUUCUUUUAAUAAUACUAUAUUAUCCUCAUGUAAAGAGUUAAAAGCAUGAUAACUUCUUAAACUCCUUACAAAAUGAAACCACUCAUUACUCAGUAUAUGUAAACAAAACAAAUUUGUUUAAAAUGUGAUCAAAGGAAAGAAAUAUAUCCAGAGUCAUAAGGUGAUGGGGUGAUUAAAACUAACAUAAUCCAACAUUACAAAUAUUUGAGCCUAUAAAUGAAAGUAAACACAAAAUGUUUUACUAGUUAAUAAAUUUUCUAGCCUAACUUAAAAGUGGUAAGUAAAAGAUUGAUGUAUAGGACCAUAUACAAAAGAAAACAGAGUGGAAGUAUGAUCAUUUUCCAAUAAAAAAGUGUCAGUUAAGAGCAGAAGAGAGAAAAUACAAUAUGAUAUGAACUGCAUUACUGUAUAGCUGACAACUAUGAAGUCAUGCACUUAAACUAAACUAUAUUUUGUUAUUAAGAUUUAUGUCCUUUCUUUCUCUAUCACUAUCUUAUGUUGUUGCCACCACUACACUACUCUCUUCUCACUAGUACCUGCUUCAAUAACAUUAACACAAACUCUCUUUCUCUCUAUCUUCAUUCCUUUUUAUAGAACUCUGCAACUUCAACUUGCCCAAAAAAACCAAACCCAUUUUGUAAAACCCAUGAAGUUCAAAACUUGUAAACUACCCACAUGGCUUCAUGAAACGCAGGCUCAAAAAACAGAGUGUUUGUAACCAUGAAAUGAGUUUGAGUUUUUUUAUCUAUUGUUGGGUGUGAAUGAAUGGGGUGCAUGGUUUCUCUACUAGCUUCAAAGUUUGCAUUUUUUCCUCCUUCUCCACCAACCUACCAGCUCAAAAAACGGGAAGACGGGAAGCU